GUGGCGUGGGGCGUCACAACAAAGGGGAGGCGAGGGGGAACUGGGCGUGUGUAUGUGUGUGUGUGUGUGCGCGCGUGUGCAUGUGAGGGGUCGCCCGCCAGCUCUUAGAAGCCUCUUCAGCGAGCAUUUACCACUGCUGUCCUUGAACAAGAGGGAGGACUGAUCCGAAUGAAGCAAAUGAACCCUGUAAGCUAAAGCCUGUGCCCGGCAUCGCUUUUCUCAGGAGCGCUUAAUCCUCAACCUCACAGAGAAGAUUCUAAUUGACUAAUUUACACAGGGUUGCCUCGGUGUUUGGUAUGAACUCUCCCUACAUUAUCAGGGGCUUCCAAGUCAGAAGAAAACCCUGUGACAGAAAAGCAGCCACAGAGUCUGCAUGGAGUGACCUACCUUUCACAGUUAUAAUUAUAAGUGACUUCAAGAGUGUGAAUUGGGAAUGUAUCAGCGGAGGCAAAUUUCUCAAAUGGAACUCAUCAAAUGAGAGACAGUUCACACAGCAACUUCAUGUAAACUUUUUUUUUUAAUUAGUGAAACACUUCAUUGUAUUAUGGGUAGAAAUGAAAUUAUGUCAAGAAUCACAAGAAAUGAACCAACUGUGUAAGGUACAUGAAGAAUAUAGAGAUCAGGCACAAACGAUUUACACUAGUAACAAUGCCCAGAGGACCCUUUGUCGAGUUCACAACACAAACAAGUUAAAGAUUAGCCCCCGUAAGUGGAAACCCCCAUAGGGGUUAGCUGUGCAGUCCUCGUUCCAUUUGACCAUUAGUGAUCUCUGUAGACCAUGAGAAAGUUAAGUCGACUGGGAAGAGCCUGGAACCUACCUGGAAAUGCCCAUACCUUGCGCUGUGCCUUCCCAGUUCCCUGCCAUCCUAUGGUGUGAGAAUGCUGAUGGCCCCACAGCCUUUGGAACCUUCCCAGGAUAUAAUGGUCUCAGGAGAGUGAACCCAGAGACCAGCUUGCUGUUUUCAACCCCACACAAAAUGGGUACAUUUGUUGUUAGUCAACUUAUAAUUCCGACUGUGGCUUAUGGUUUUGCCACCAACCUUUUAGAAGGAAAAUAUCAAAUGUGAUUUUAAGCCAUCACGAUCCAUAACCAUGGCACUAAUAAAGAAUUAAUCUAU